UACAGAGGGUGCAAGCGUUGUUCGGAAUUACUGGGCGUAAAGCGCGUGUAGGUGGCAAGAAAAGUCGGGUGUGAAAUCCCUUGGCUUAACCAAGGAAGUGCAUUCGAUACUCUCUCGCUUGAGUACCGGAGGGGACGGCGGAAUUCCCGGUGUAGAGGUGAAAUUCGUAGAUAUCGGGAGGAACACCUGUGGCGAAGGCGGCCAUCUGGACGGUCACUGACACUGAGACGCGAAAGCGUGGGUAGCAAACAGG
rnacentral:rRNA from 1 species